UGGGGAAUUUUACGCAAUGGGGGAAACCCUGACGUAGCGACACCGCGUGAGCGAAGAAGCCCUUUGGGGUGUAAAGCUCUGUCAGCUGGAACGAAAACAAUGACGGUACCAGCAGAGGAAGCAUCGGCUAACUACGUGCCAGCAGCCGCGGUAAGACGUAGGAUGCGAGCGUUGUCCGGAUUUAUUGGGCGUAAAGAGUUCGUAGGUGGUUUGUUAAGUUUGGUGUUAAAGAUCGGGGCUCAACCCUGGGACUGCACUGAAUACUGGCAGACUCGAGUGUGGUAGAGGCUAGUGGAAUUCCCAGUGUAGCGGUGAAAUGCGUAGAUAUAGGAAGGAACACCAGUGGCGAAGGCGACCACCUGGACUAAUACUGACACUGAGGUGCGAAAGCGUGGGGAGCAAACA
rnacentral:rRNA from 1 species